rnacentral:rRNA from 1 species
AGUGAACGCUGGCGGUAGGCCUAACACAUGCGAGUCGAACGGCAGCACAGUAAGAGCUUGCUCUUACGGGUGGCGAGUGGCGGACGGGUGAGGAAUACAUCGGAAUCUACUUUUUCGUGGGGGAUAACGUAGGGAAACUUACGCUAAUACCGCAUACGACCUACGGGUGAAAGCAGGGGAUCUUCGGACCUUGCGCGAUUGAAUGAGCCGAUGUCGGAUUAGCUAGUUGGCGGGUUAAAGGCCCACCAAGGCGACGAUCCGUAGCUGGUCUGAGAGGAUGAUCAGCCACACUGGAACUGAGACACGGUCCAGACUCCUACGGGAGGCAGCAGUGGGGAAUAUUGGACAAUGGGCGCAAGCCUGAUCCAGCCAUACCGCGUGGGUGAAGAAGGCCUUCGGGUUGUAAAGCCCUUUUGUUGGGAAAGAAAAGCAGCAGGUUAAUACCCCGCUGUUCUGACGGUACCCAAAGAAUAAGCACCGGCUAACUUCGUG